rnacentral:rRNA from 1 species
UACGUAGGGUGCAAGCGUUACUCGGAAUUACUGGGCGUAAAGCGUGCGCAGGCGGUUGUGCAAGACAGAUGUGAAAUCCCCGGGCUCAACCUGGGAAUUGCAUUUGUGACUGCACGGCUAGAGUGUGUCAGAGGGGGGUAGAAUUCCACGUGUAGCAGUGAAAUGCGUAGAGAUGUGGAGGAACACCGAUGGCGAAGGCAGCCCCCUGGGUCAAGAUUGACGCUCAUGCACGAAAGCGUGGGGAGCAAACAGG